rnacentral:misc_RNA from 1 species
GAUGAAGAACAUAGCGAAAUGCGAUACUUGGUGUGAAUUGCAGAAUCCCGUGAACCAUCGAGUCUUUGAACGCAAGUUGCGCCCGAAGCCAUUAGGCCGAGGGCACGCCUGCCUGGGCGUCACACGUCGUUGCCCCCCCAUCUACUCCUUCGGGAUUGCGGGGGGCGGAUGAUGGCCUCCCGUGCGCCUCGUCGCGCGGUUGGCAUAAAUGCCAAGUCCUCGGCGACGCACGCCACGACAAUCGGUGGUUGCGAAACCUCGGUUGCCCGUCGUGUGCGGUCGUCGCGCAUCGAGGGCUCGAAAAAAUUGCCGGGCUCCGGCUCGGCUUUCAACGCGACCCCAGGUCAGGCGGGGUUACCCGCUGAAUUUAAGCAUAUCAAUAAGCGGAGGA